CUCCGAAAAAAUCAAAGUUGAGACGGAAACUUGUCUUUAAAAAAGACAAUCCGAUCCCAGCUAAACAUGAAAUAGAGGGCGAAGCCAUUCAUGUACCACAGUCACCUGACCGUGCGCCGGAAAAAUUAACAGCUCCGGGAGAGGAGAAUAUAUCAAAUGAUUUAAACCAGAAUCCAAGCAUCAAUAACAUUCAGCAGAACUGUACCAGUUCAGUGCAGGAAGAGUUGGAACCGCCCGGAACCGUUCAAAUACCCCGUGUACGGAAAUAUCUUAAAUUGAGGAAAAGACGGCGACUCUGUGCUCUGUAUACCAGGGC